UGAAUUCUCUCUCGCGUACAUCCAAGCAUCUCCAGCCAACAGAAUGACCCGCGCUGUCUUAUCCAUCCUGGUGAUGUUUGUGUGUCUUGCACAUACGCGGGAGACACUGGAUGACUUCAAGAUGGUGAUUGAAGAUGUCGAAUUGUACAUCAAUUCCUUGAAGGAAGAAGAUUUUGAGAUGGUUGCUAACAGCUUCAUAGACCAGUAUAUGCGUAUAACGGACAAUGUAUU